UGGGAAAUACACCGACAGAUUUAUAUAUAUAUUUCGAUUUUCUAGUUCCAUAGACAAACACUUUCCAAGAGCGACUUUUAACGACCAGAAUAGUGCCGAUUGUUUGACAAGAUGAAGACCGCUGUUGUGAUGUUUGUUCUUUUUACAACACUUCUAAUGUUAACUACGACAGUUUCAAGUCUUCCCGCCAAACAUAAGGUGCCAUGUCCACGCACGUGCGCGUAUUCCUAUUACGACUGCGUAGACGCAUGCCUGAAAACAGACGAAAUAAAAUACUGUAGGAGGAUAUGCAUUGGGAUGUUCAUAAGGUGUAGGCGUGGUUGUCCAAAAUACAGCUCUGACAAUCGAAUAGAUGCUGAUAACUGAUUCGGAGGAAUUACUCUGACUUUGAUGAGCGGAUUAUGCCAAGCUACCCAAGUUAAUAAUCAAUAUCAAUGAAAGAUCUCAUUUGUCAACUACGGAUAUAUACCGAAGGCUGAAUGAAGACACACCAUUGUUUUGGAUGAAAGAGUUUAACGACAGUGAUCAACAACUCAAAGAGGUCGUGAAUGUUAUACCUGAUGUUUCAUAAUUUGUAAAACUGACAAACUGUGAUUUUGUAAUUUGCUAAAACAAGGUUUACAUUGAUAGAAUGGGAAUAUAUGAUAUGUAGUCUAUAAGGAAUUAUCCGAAAGAUCUGAGGUAUCAAGCAUACAUUUCUAGCAUAUUCAGAACACAUACAUUGCUAGUUAUGAUAUAUCUUUUCAUAUGUUCAUGUGAUAGUUCUAUGUUAUGUAAAUUUGUGCUAUUUAUUAUUUGAUAUUUGUUCGAUUUGAAAUCCAUACUCCUUUUUUGUGCAAUACAAAUCAAAUGUUCAAACAUGUGCUGUAAAAUACCACAAUAAAACUAGAAAUUUUAA